rnacentral:lncRNA from 10 species
GAGAAAUUUCUUUGGUUGUGUGUGUGUUUAACAGGGUCUCACUUUGUCACCCAGGAUGGAAUGCAGUGGUGAAAUCACAGCUCACUGUAGCCUCAACUUCCCAGGCCCAAGUGAUCCUCCUGCCUCAACCCCACAAGUAGCCAGGACUAGAGAUGAAGAAAGCAACGUGGUAAUAAUUGAGGCUACAGAGAAUUCACUGGCAUUAAUGCUGAUCAAACAAGCAAAAGAAAUCUGUGAUUGAAACAUACUGCGACCAAUUUUCCAAUUUUGUCAACUCACCAAGCAACAAAUCUUAUACAACACCUGGUGACCUGUAUAAAUAACUAUUCUUCUGGGGCGGAAGAAACUUGGCAUUUUUUUGAAACAUAGUCUUACUAUGUUUUCCAGGCUGAUCUUGAACUCCUGGGCUCAAGCAAUCCUCCUACCCCAGCCUUCAGAGUAGUUGGGAUUACAAUCUAAACUUCAAACAAAUAGAGACCAAGAUAAUUAGCUUCCUAGCUCUGACAACAGGACAUGAGAAAUGUGAUGUAAUAUGAAAUUGGAACAUGCAAGUAGAGAAGAAGAACAAGAACCGUAAAAGGAGAAGAAGAAAAUUUUGGCCAGUGACAUAUCAACCUAAUGUACAAUACUUUAAGUGUUUUAAGUAUUCUAAUAAAGGAGAAUUUCCUAUUGAUACUAGACUUCUACAAUAAUUAUAACUUAGUAUAUACCUGAUUUGCUUAAUAUUUGUGUCAUGCCCAGCCAUAUAAAAUUGUUGCAUUUUUCUAUUUCAUGAUCUUGUUUAUUUGUUACUGUUAUGCUUUCCCCAGCUACUAUGUAAAUCCCUUAAGAACUGUGUCAGUUUAUCAUUUCUGAAUCCUUAAUACCCAAAAGAGUGUUUAGCAAUAAGAAGCACUCACUGAAUAUUGAUGAGUGACUGCAUUAGUAUAUGUAUUAAAUUUGAGAUGAAACACAAACUUAACAUUCUAUUUUCAUUUUGAGCAUCAAAUACAGGGUACUUACUAUAUGCAAUGCACUGUGAUAGGUGCUUCAAAAAUAUUCUAUAAAUCCUCAUAACAGUCCAUGUUAGUGAUAAAUACAAUGAGAUUAAGAGGUGAAGUGGCAUGCCUGAAAACAUAAAGUACAUCAAAGAGAUCUGUGUAAAGUCAAAUCUGUAUGUACA